rnacentral:rRNA from 1 species
UACGAAGGGGGGCUAGCGUUGCUCGGAAUCACUGGGCGUAAAGCGCACGUAGGCGGAUCUUUUAAGUCAGGGGGUGAAAUCCUGGAGCUCAACUCCAGAACUGCCUUUGAUACUGGGGGAUCUCGAGUCCGGAAGAGGUGAGUGGAACUCCGAGUGUAGAGGUGAAAUUCGUAGAUAUUCGGAAGAACACCAGUGGCGAAGGCGGCUCACUGGUCCGGUACUGACGCUGAGGUGCGAAAAGCGUGGGGAGCAAACAGG